AGGGCAGGAUGCCGGAUAACGUCCGGUGGAGGUGACUCCCAGGCUAGUGCAACAGAAAAGAACCGCCAGAAUAUCUGGUAAGGGUGAAAAGGCGAGGUAAGAGCUCACCGCGUUUCUGGUAACAGAAGCGGCAGAUGUAAACCCCAUCCGAAGCAAGACCGAACAGGAAUAAUACGGCUGCCCGUCGUGUUCCGGGUAGGUUGCUUGAGCCUGGCAGUAAUGUCAGGUCUAGAUAGAUGAUCGUCAAAUACAGAACUCGGCUUAUAGUGUUACUCAUUUG
rnacentral:RNase_P_RNA from 1 species